rnacentral:misc_RNA from 1 species
GCAAACUUGGUCAUUUAGAGGAAGUAAAAGUCGUAACAAGGUUUCCGUAGGUGAACCUGCGGAAGGAUCAUUACUGUAGGGCUUUAGUCCUGCCAAGAUAGAACCCUUGCUUUCUAGUACUAACUGUUUCCUCAGCAGGCUCGCCUGCUGCUGGGCACUUGGUUUAAAUCUUUUGCAACUGCAGAAACUGUCUGAAUACACAAGCAUAUCAAAACUUUCAACAACGGAUCUCUUGGUUCUGGCAUCGAUGAAGAACGCAGC